GACGAACGCUGGCGGCGUGCUUGAUACAUGCAAGUCGAGCGGACAGACGUGAAGUUUGUUGCGCAGAUGUGGUCGGCGGACGGGUAAGGAAUACGUAAAACACCAAUGUACAAGCCCGGGAUUAGGUCGAAAAAUGGGAGCUAAUGUCGGAUAAUCGUUUGAACUGCAUGGUUGAGAAGGUGGAGACGGUCGUGCUGUUAGUGGUUGGUGGAUCGGCGCUGGCUUAUCUAGUUGUUAGGGUAACGGUGUACCAAGGCAACGAUGGAUAGUCGUCGUGAGAGGGUGAUCGUCCACAGUGGAACUGAGACUCGGUCCCGACCCCUACGGCUAGCGGCAGUAGGGAAUCUUCCGCAAGGGGCGAGAGCCUGACGCAGCAGCACCGCGUGAGUGAUGAAGGUCUUCGGAUCGUAAAACUCUGUUACUAGGGAAGAACAUAUGUGUAAGUAACUGUGCACAUCUUGACGGUACCUAAUCAGAAAGCCACGGCUAACUACGUG
rnacentral:rRNA from 1 species